rnacentral:rRNA from 1 species
UACGUAGGGGGCAAGCGUUGUCCGGAUUUAUUGGGCGUAAAGAGCGUGUAGGCGGUUUGGUAGGUCCGCUGUGAAAACUCGAGCUCAACCUCGAGACGCCGGUGGAAACCAUCAGACUAGAGUCCGGAAGAGGAGAGUGGAAUUCCUGGUGUAGCGGUGAAAUGCGCAGAUAUCAGGAGGAACACCAAUGGCGAAGGCAGCUCGCUGGAACGGUACUGACGCUGAGACGCGAAAGCGUGGGGAGCAAACAGG